CUAAAGGUAAGCUAAAAAUUUAUAAGCUUUUGGGUUCAUACCCCAAAUAUAGGCGUAACCUCCUCUUUG
rnacentral:tRNA from 1 species